CUCUGCUGCCCAGAAGCACAAUCUUCUUGGGCUUUGUUCCCAAGGGCAGUCACUCCUGCUUACUCAGACUCCAGACUGGCUUCAGCUGAUCAUCUGGAGUGUGAUUGUCCAAAGAUGGCUCCCACCUCAGCUCUCUGCAGCCAGCUGAGAGGCAGUGUGCGCUUUUCAAGCACCGGUGCACAUUGCACACUUCAGAUCAGCCAAGUUCAGGUAUGGAGGUGGAAAGAUGUUUCUCAUGACGGCAUGACAACAGUGUUUCUAGAAGGAUGUAAAAAUAGCCUGCA